CCAACCAAACCCCUCCAACGGAUAAAUUUCCUCCGGACUCCUCCAGCGGUCGACCUUCCACAAUAUCCUCCAGACUCCUCCAGCGGACAAACUUCCAUAAUGUCUUCUGAAUUUUGCUAUCGAUCGACCUUCUGUCAGAUUCCUCAUGCAACCAGACCUCUCCAGCAGACGGUCUUCAGACAAGCUUCUACAUCAGACAAAUUCUAGAUGGACUUCUCUAGCAAUCGGACUUCAGUCG
rnacentral:lncRNA from 1 species